UCAUGACUGCAGUAGUCAUCAUUUGCUAAAAAAGCUUGACGUCCAGGGAUUUAACGCAAGAAUCACUGACAGUGGCAAAAGCCUUUAUGUUUCCCAGGGAGUAGAGACAGCCAUAACCAAGAAAAAGAGACAGUUCUAUCAUGGUAAUUACCAGUGCAGUGCCACAGAUGAGUGGAAUGGGCUACCCAAGGCGAAUGCAAGUCAUGUUGUUACCAUUUUAACCAAGGAGCCACACAUUCACCAAGCUAAAUGCAGGUCUGUCUUGCUUGCUGGAAAUCAAUUAAUCAUCAAAAGGAAAGACAAAUCAAUCAACCUCAUUUUUGUUUUAAUUUAACAUGGAUGGUAAACUACUGCAAUUUAUUUUGGCCUUUGCAAUGGGUUAAUGCCGCAGUCUCCUUGUCUCUGGUGUUGGGAGCCUUUACUAUUAAACUGCUUUGGAAAAUCAUACUCAGACACAAUAAAUAUGACCGAUCCCAUAACAUGCUCUUAAGCGUCACCAGCUAA
rnacentral:lncRNA from 1 species